UUCCAUUCCUAAUCAUCAAGAAUCACUUCUCUUUUCUUGAUAAAAAAAAACAAAUUAAAAAGAUCUUUUCAAAUUUCAGUAAUACAAGGAUAUUUGGUGGUGCUUUUUUAAAUAAUAAGAUGUGGAUCGACAUUCAUUCGACUUAGAACAAGUGUUCAAUGUAAUCGAUAAAUUGGUCUCUUCUAACUCUCGAUUGUUUUCUAAGAUGGAGAAUGGAGUAAGAAUUGAAUGGUGUGACAAUUGCAAGGCACAGGCAAAUUUAGUCGGCGGCAUCAGGUUUUCAACCCGACCCUCAUUGGCAAAAAAUUAUACUAUACCAAUGAGGUGUGUGACUCUAAAGAAAGCAUUGUGUGCUUAGACUCUCAUCUUAAGUUAUUAAUUUUAAAGAAGCAGACUAUUAAGGUUUUUCCCGAAGAAUGCUCGGGAACAUGUGGUAUUUAAAAGUGUUGAAGAAACCAAUAUGAUGUUUGAUGUUUUUUCGUCUUGUUGUUACACUAUUUGUCGCUAAUAUCCAAACAACUUGUAAGUACAUUAUUUGUAUUCUGAGUCAAGCUAUAAACACUUGAUUCAGUCUGUGCAUUAGGUGAUUUUAGAAGCAUUGGAACUCCACCGUAAUGAGCUAUUGACAACAAAAUAAGGCAAAAAUCAAGUGACCACUUACUUCGUUUCAGACAUGGUUUGAAGUGUGAUUCGCUGCAUAUGCUCGCUUUGAUAUAAGGGAAGAGGAAGGAAAAAUGUCACAACAAAACCAUAACAUGGUAUUAUUUGCCAAAAAAGGCAGGGGAAGAGGAAAAAAAACAACAUCAACAUACUGAAGCAUUGACAAAACAAGUUUUUGUUGGGUAUUCAAAGUCUUUUUUUGUUGGAUAUUCGGCAACAACAACAUCAAUAUAGCGAAGCAUUGACAAAAUAAGUUUUUGCUGGGUAUUCAAAGUUUUAUUUUUGUUGGAUAUUCAAAGCAAGCUAGGAGUAAUUCUUCCUCUACUCACUACCUUGAGGGGGAAUGUUGAAGAAAAAGGAAACUAACGAUUGGAACAUGUCAAAGAAAUAGGUCCAACGCAGUUGAUUGACCUAUCUGCAGCAAAAAUUGAUGAAGAAAGAAGCUGACGAAUGAAACAUGUCAAUGGAACAGGUCCAACGAAGCUGACCGACGAGUUUG